GGGCGGUUAGCUCAGUUGGUUAGAGCACUACCUUGACAUGGUAGGGGUCACAGGUUCAACUCCUGUACCGCCCACCA
rnacentral:tRNA from 1 species